UACGUAGGGUGCAAGCGUUGUCCGGAUUUAUUGGGCGUAAAGAGCUCGUAGGCGGUCUGUCGCGUCGGAUGUGAAAACCCAGGGCUCAACCCUGGGCCUGCAUUCGAUACGGGCAGACUAGAGGUAGGUAGGGGAGAAUGGAAUUCCCGGUGUAGCGGUGAAAUGCGCAGAUAUCGGGAGGAACACCGGUGGCGAAGGCGGUUCUCUGGGCCUUACCUGACACUGAGGAGCGAAAGCGUGGGGAGCGAACAGG
rnacentral:rRNA from 1 species